UACGAAGGGUGCAAACGUUGCUCGGAAUUAUUGGGCGUAAAGCGCACGUAGGCGGCUUUGCAAGUCCCAUGUGAAAUCCCACGGCUCAACCGUGGAAGUGCAUGGGAAACUGCAGAGCUUGAGUACUUAAGAGGAUCGCGGAAUUCCCGGUGUAGAGGUGAAAUUCGUAGAUAUCGGGAGGAACACCAGUGGCGAAGGCGGCACUCUGGGCCGGUACUGACGCUGAGGAGCGAAAGCGUGGGGAGCAAACAGG
rnacentral:rRNA from 1 species